AAGUAUUCUUCGGUGCAACCAGCGCUUCCACAGCGCGGCAGCCCAAACCUUACACACUGUGAUUAGUUUUUUUACUAUUUACUUUGGCUGCGCAAGUGGCCAAAGGUCUUAAACACAAAGAUUUAUAUCUUUUUUUACAAAGUUUAGUCAAUGAAGUUUUAAUACUAUAAUCUUCA
rnacentral:misc_RNA from 1 species